rfam:Schistosoma curassoni strain Dakar, Senegal genome assembly, scaffold: SCTD_contig0002748
AUUCAACUAACGAGUCACAAAUAUGAGGAAACGCGCGUCCUGGAU